CCUACGGGAGGCAGCAGUGAGGAAUAUUGGUCAAUGUCCUUAAUUCUUAACCCUCCCUUCCUCUUUCCUUUCCUUUCCCUCUUUUCUUUAAACUUCUUUUGUGCGGGAGCAAUAAUGGUCACGUGUGGCCAGACGAGAGUACCGUACGAAUAAGCAUCGGCUAACUCCGUGCCAGCAGCCGCGGUAAUACGGGGGAUGCAAGCGUUAUCCGGGUUUAUUGGGUUUAAAGGGUGCGUAGGCUGUGAGGUAAGUCAGCGGUGAAAUGCCCCCGCUCAACGGGGUGAAGUGCCAUUGAUACUGCCUUGCUGGAAUGCGGAUGCCGUGGGAGGAAUGUGUGGUGUAGCGGUGAAAUGCAUAGAUAUCACACAGAACACCGAUUGCGAAGGCAUCUCACGAAUCCGCGAUUGACGCUGAUGCACGAAAGCGUGGGUAUCAAACAGGAUUAGAUACCCCAGUAGUC
rnacentral:rRNA from 1 species